rnacentral:rRNA from 1 species
AUUGAACGCUGGCGGCAGGCCUAACACAUGCAAGUCGAACGGUAACAGGAAGCAGCUUGCUGCUUUGCUGACGAGUGGCGGACGGGUGAGUAAUGUCUGGGAAACUGCCCGAUGGAGGGGGAUAACUACUGGAAACGGUAGCUAGUACCGCAUAACGUCGCAAGACCAAAGAGGGGGACCUUAGGGCCUCUUGCCAUCGGAUGUGCCCAGAUGGGAUUAGCUAGUAGGUGGGGUAACGGCUCACCUAGGCGACGAUCCCUAGCUGGUCUGAGGGGAUGACCAGCCACACUGGAACUGAGACACGGUCCAGACUCCUACGGGAGGCAGCAGUGGGGAAUAUUGCACAAUGGGCGCAAGCCUGAUGCAGCCAUGCCGCGUGUAUGAAGAAGGCCUUCGGGUUGUAAAGUACUUUCAGCGGGGAGGAAGGGAGUAAAGUUAAUACCUUUGCUCAUUGACGUUACCCGCAGAAGAAGCACCGGCUAACUCCGUG